rnacentral:rRNA from 1 species
CCUACGGGAGACUGCAGUGAGGAAUAUUGGUCAAUGGACGAGAGUCUGAACCAGCCAAGUAGCGUGAAGGAUGACUGCCCUAUGGGUUGUAAACUUCUUUUAUAUGGGAAUAAAAUGUUCCACGUGUGGGAUUUUGUAUGUACCAUAUGAAUAAGGAUCGGCUAACUCCGUGCCAGCAGCCGCGGUAAUACGGAGGAUCCGAGCGUUAUCCGGAUUUAUUGGGUUUAAAGGGAGCGUAGGUGGAUUGUUAAGUCAGUUGUGAAAGUUUGCGGGUCAACCGUAAAAUUGCAGUUGAAACUGGCAGUCUUGAGUACAGUAGAGGUGGGCGGAAUUCGUGGUGUAGCGGUGAAAUGCUUAGAUAUCACGAAGAACUCCGAUUGCGAAGGCAGUUCACUGGACUGCAACUGACACUGAGGCUCGAAAGUGUGGGUAUCAAACAGGAUUAGAUACCCCUGUAGUC